GAUGAACGCUGGCGGCGUGCCUAAUACAUGCAAGUCGAGCGAACGGACGAGAAGCUUGCUCCUCUGGUGUUAGCGGCGGACGGGUGAGUAACACGUGGAUAACCUACCUAUAAGACUGGGAUAACUUCGGGAAACCGGAGCUAAUACCGGAUAAUAUUUUGAACCGCAUGGUUCAAAAGUGAAAGACGGUCUUGCUGUCACUUAUAGAUGGAUCCGCGCUGCAUUAGCUAGUUGGUAAGGUAACGGCUUACCAAGGCAACGAUGCAUAGCCGACCUGAGAGGGUGAUCGGCCACACUGGAACUGAGACACGGUCCAGACUCCUACGGGAGGCAGCAGUAGGGAAUCUUCCGCAAUGGGCGAAAGCCUGACGGAGCAACGCCGCGUGAGUGAUGAAGGUCUUCGGAUCGUAAAACUCUGUUAUUAGGGAAGAACAUAUGUGUAAGUAACUGUGCACAUCUUGACGGUACCUAAUCAGAAAGCCACGGCUAACUACGUA
rnacentral:rRNA from 1 species